rnacentral:rRNA from 1 species
CCUACGGGUGGCUGCAGUGAGGAAUAUUGGUCAAUGGACGAGAGUCUGAACCAGCCAAGUAGCGUGAAGGAUGACUGCCCUAUGGGUUGUAAACUUCUUUUAUAUGGGAAUAAAACGUUCCACGUGUGGGAUUUUGUAUGUACCAUAUGAAUAAGGAUCGGCUAACUCCGUGCCAGCAGCCGCGAUAAUACGGAGGAUCCGAGCGUUAUCCGGAUUUAUUGGGUUUAAAGGGAGCGUAGGUGGAUUGUUAAGUCAGUUGUGAAAGUUUGCGGCUCAACCGUAAAAUUGCAGUUGAUACUGGCAGUCUUGAGUACAGUAGAGGUAGGCGGAAUUCGUGGUGUAGCGGUGAAAUGCUUAGAUAUCACGAAGAACUCCGAUUGCGAAGGCAGUUCACUGGACUGCAACUGACACUGAGGCUCGAAAGUGUGGGUAUCAAACAGGAUUAGAUACCCUUGUAGUC